rnacentral:misc_RNA from 1 species
GAUGAAGAACGUAGCGAAAUGCGAUAAGUAAUGCGAAUUGCAGAAUUAGUGAAUCAUCGAAUCUUUGAACGCACAUUGCGCCUGCCAGCACUCUGGCAGGCAUGCCUGUUCGAGCGUCAUUUCAACCAUCAAGCCCUAGGCUUGCGUUGGAGCCCUGCGGCUGCCGCAGGCCCCUAAAAGCAGUGGCGGGCUCGCUAUCACACCGAGUGCAGUAGAUUACUCUUCGCUCAGGGCGUGUGGCGGGUUCCAGCCGUGAAACCCCUACUUCUCAAGGUUGACCUCGGAUCAGGUAGGAAUACCCGCUGAACUUAAGCAUAUCAAUAAGCGGAGGA